CCCCUGGUGGUCUAAUGGUUAAGAUUUGGCACUCUCACUGCAACGGCAUGGGUUCAUUUCCCAGUCAGAGAA
rnacentral:tRNA from 1 species